rnacentral:tRNA from 2 species
AGGGAGUUAGUCCAAAACUAAGACCUCUGAUUUCGGCUCAGAAGACCGUGGUUUAACUCCACGACCCCCUU